AUUAAUAAUAAUAAUAAUAAUAAUAAUAAUAAUAAUAAUAAUAAUAAUAAUAAUAAUAAUAAUAAUAAUAAUAAUAAUAAUCAUCAUCAUCAUCAUCAUUCUGUAUGUAUUUUUGCAUGUAUAUUUUUCUUUGAGAUUUAUUAAAGUUCUUCUUAAUGGAAUCUAAACCAGUUGUUUUCUUCAGUUAGGACCUUGCUGGGUUUUGUUAAUAUAUGGUUGAGUCAGUAUGUGCAUAUAUGUAGAUGUAUGCAGCUACAUUUAUAUCCUGUGUGAACAUGGUUUUUUAGUGCUUUUUGUAAUUGCUUGCGUGCGACCAUCGCGCACGUGUAUGCAUCAUAACUUUUCAUGUGUAUACACUUCUAGAUGCACAGAAUUAAGUGUGUGCAUAAAUUCAUUUAAAGAAUCUCAACUGGAGAAUUUUUUGUAUGUCUUAUAAAUUUUCACACGCUUUCGAACAGUAUUUGUCUGCCAAAUUCUUCUCGAAAGACACUGAUCAAUCUGAAAUUGUGACAGAAGAUACAUUUUUUUUUCAGAGCCGCACAAAAGAAUCGAGCCCUUAACCACGUGCUUUCGAAGCCAACCUUUUAACUGCAUAGCUGUCGCUUUAUAUUAGUUCUAUAGACAAGAUAGUAAUGAACUGAAAAGGCUUGGCAGCAUGGUUUUCUUGGAGUUUAUUUUAAUAAUUUUAAUUGCCGAAUAGAAAUCGCAACGCGAAUAAAUCAACUUCCUUGGCACUUAAUCAAUUAAUCAAUGUCACUGUUCCAUACUGGAGGCGCCAUGGGCCAGUAGUUAGGGCACCGGACUCGCGGUCGGAGGAUCGUGGUUUCGAUUCCCAGACCGGGCGUUGUGUGUGUUUAUUGAGCGAAAACACCUAGGGCGACCCCUGUUGUACUCUUUCGCUCCAACUUUUUCUCACUCUUUCUUCCUGUUUCUUGAGAAACGCUACGAUGGACUGGCGUCCCGUCCAGCUGGGCGGGGGGGGGGGGGGGUACACAUACGCCACAGAAACCGGGAUACCGGGCCCAUGAGUCUGGCUAGGCUUGAAAAGGGCGCAUAAAUAAAUAAAUUGUUCCAUACUAGUAUGUGUAAAGAGAUUAUAUGGACAGGAUUCUGGUUAGACCUCGUUACCUGUCACCUUGGAAAAGUUCUACAAUCGCUGUGGAUCAUGUGAUAGAAAUUUUGUUGGUGGAGACUACGUAGAAGUCUGUUUAAGGCUGUGAGUGCGAUUCCCGGUGGAGCAUUAUGUCUCUGAGCAAGACACCUUUUUUUCUCAUGUCGCUCCAAUCCACUCAGCUGGCAAAAAUCAGUAGUACUUGUAUUUUAAAGGGCCAGCCUUGUCACAUUCUGUGUCACGCUGAAUCUCUCUGAUAACUACGUUAAGGGCACGCAUGCCUGUGGAGUGCUCAGCUACUUGCACAUUAAUUUCACGCGCAGGCUGUUCCGUUGAUCGGAUCAACUGGAAAGCUUGUUAUCGUAACCGACAGUGUAUCAGAAGUCUGUUUGAUAGACCGUUCCUGUUUUCGACUGACAAACUUGAUUCAGUCGCCCGGUAUAGUACCACCAUCUGGCCCUUGGGUGCUUAUACCAGAGUCGACUCUUACAAGAAUUUGUUCCAGCCUUGCAAUCUCAGCCAAACUUUCUCGUUUCACAGCAGCAGUUUUGAAGUGGUUACAAAAGCCAUCGAUGUUGCCCUUCCUGUUUUUAACUAAGCCAUUAGCAUAUUGCGUGAAGUGGCUGAAAGCACCGCAAAGGUAAUGGCCUCUCUAACAUACGAACAAGACCACAAAAAUUUUGGAGGAGAAUAAUUAGACGAUUUUAUCAAUCCCAGUAUUUGCCUGGUACUUAAUUUUAUUGAAAGCCAAAGUCAACACCAAUGGACUUUGAACACUGAACGCAGAAGGUUACUCUUUUACACUUUUAUUUGUUUCAGUCAUUUGACUGUGGCCAUGCUGGAGCACCGCCUUUAGUCGAGCAAAUCGACCCCAGAACUUAUUCUUCGUAAGCCUAGUACUUAUUCUAUCGGGGGCGUAAACACAACAGCAUCGGCUGUCAAGCGAUGUUGGGUGGGUGGGGAUAAAUAAAGACACACAAACAUAUACACACAUACAAAUAAAUAAAUAAAUAAAUAAAUAUAUAUAUAUACAACGGGCUUCUUUCAGUUUCGUCUACCAAAUCCACUCACAAGGCUUUGGUCGCCCGAGGCUAUAGUAGAAGACAUUUACCCAAGGUGCCACGCAGUGGGCCUGAACUCGAAACCAUGUGGUUCGUAAGCAAGCUACUUACCACACAGCCACUCCUACGCCUAUGUGAACUUCUAAAUAUAAAUCCAAGAUAAUUAUACUUUAUUAAUUGAAUAAAAGACUAAGUAGCAAAUAAUUUUCUUUGCGUUAAAUUAUUUAUAUCCUAAUAGAUAUAAAUACCUUUUUCUUAUAUACGUUUUGUCUUUACAUUCUAAAUGUGAAAGCGCGUGACCUAAUGGUUGCUUGCAAGAUCGCGGUUCCGAUUCCCGGGCCGAGAGCUGCGUUGUGUUUUUGAGCAAAGCACUUAAUUUCACGUUACUCUGCGAUCACUUUGACGUAGGAUGUUUGGUACAAAGUUCAAUGUACAGGCAAUGUCGAUCUGAUGUAGGGAGCAUACUUAUGUACAACACAUACAUUUCAUCACUAUAAAAGGUUGUUCAGCAAGAGGUUUCGCAACCCUCAUCUGCCGUUUACAUCAGGAGAUCCAGCUAUGUACUGGAUGUACCACCAUAUUGUUAUUUGCUUUGAAGUAUUUCUUCAUAAAAAGAAAUAGUUUGAGAACCAGCGAACUAAAAUUAUAAAAAGAGGAAAACUUCUCUCUAUUCAUCUUUUAACUUCAGCAAACCGCCUAGGGUUGUAUGACUAUUAGUAUUUACAUAUAUUUUUAAAUAAUAUAUCAUUAUUAUUAUUAAUAAUAUAAAGAAACCAAUAUCGAACUCAUAUUAAAGAUAUACUCGUGUGAAAGACCUUAUUGUAUCAAAAUUAUUUAUAAAUAAAUAUAUAUAUAAAUAUAAAUAUAAUGUAUAAGAUACAUUUGAUAGUUUAAAAGUUUUGAAUUAAUUUUUUAAGCGUCUUACGAUCGUUUCGCAGAAGAGUUGUCCCUAUAAUGAAAUCCUAUAUUGAUAAGCAUUUAUAGACAAUCCUUCUGCUCUUCAGAGAUAUAAAAUAUGAAUAUUGUAUAAUAUUAGAAUUUAUAAUAAUAUGACUAUUAGAAUUCGUAAUAGCUGGAGUUUAAACUCCUCUACGGUUCUGAAAUUGUGCGUAUUUUCUAUUUGUUAUAAUAGUUUACAGCAAUUUUUGCACUUUGGUUUGUUUCUUCUAUUGUCUUUUAUCAUAUUUGAUCUUUAUAUUUUAUUACAUCUUUCUGAAUUUGUUCAUCUCUUGUAUUAUUCUUCAUAACCUUUACUAAGGUGAUGAGAUGAUAAAAUCAGUUGAGACUUGCAGUAUUUGGUCAGUUGUAGACCCUUAUGCUUUCACUUCAAGCCUCACCACAAUCGAAUUUGCAUUUCAUCUACCGGACUUAAUGAAAUAAGCAUCAGUCAAAUUCUGCGAUCGACUAUACUCCAUCUCCAACUAUAAAUUUUGGUCUUAUACUUAUGUUAGAAAUCAAUAUUAAGUGGUAAGUCAGCAAAAUGAAUUACGCUUUUUUAAUAAGAUUCGAUGUUCAAAUUCCUCAAGGUUGGUUUUAUAUUUCAUCCUUUCGGAGACGAUGAAAUAAAGUACCAUUUAAAUACCAAGGUCGAUAUAAUCGACUUUUUCCUUCUUCCAAGUUUGUAACUUUUUGCGUACGUUUGAAAUCCUUAUUAAGUGAUGCAAAGUAGCAGAAAUUGCUGUGCCAGAAACAAUAUGAAAUGCAGUUUUAAUUAUGUCGUUCUACGUUCUGACUUCAAAUUCCUUAUAAGGUUGACAUUACUUUUAAUUGCUCCAGGAUCGAUGCCCAUCAUCAUCACCACCACCACCACCACCACCACCACCACCACCACCAUCACCACCACCACCAUCAUCAUCAUCAUCAAAAUUACAAUCUCUCUCUACAAAAUAUGUAGACUAGUGUCCAUCCUGUCAAUCAUUCUCCAUAUCAUUAUUAUACCCACAAAUGCGAUGUCGCCUGAAGACGAGUUUGCAAUAUUACUGGAUCAAUAAUUGCGGUGACCUAUUGGAAUCGCUAACACGCCGGGCAAAAUGCUUCGCGGCAUUUCGCCCAUCCUUACGUUCUGAGUUCAAAUUCCACCGAGGUCGACUUUGCCUUUUGUCCUCUCGGAGUCGAUAAAACAAGAACCAACUGAGCCCUGGGGGUGGGAUAUAAUCGAUUCAUCCGUUUAUCAAAAUUGCUGGCAUGCACCAAGAAUUUGAAACCAAUGUUACUGAAUCAAAUAUUCUCAAAGCAUCUAUUCUUUUACUUGUUUCAGACUUUUGACUGCGACCAUGCUGGAGCAUUGCCUUGAAAGGUUUUUUAAAGACUUAUUCUAUCGGUCCCUUUUCCCGAACCGCCAAGUUACGGGGGCGUAAACACACCAACACCGGUUGUCAAACGGUGUGGAGGGACAGAUACAAAGACACACAUGGAUACAUAGAUACAUACAUAUAUACAUACACAUAUGUAUAUACGACGAGCUUCUUUCAGUUUCCCUCUACCAGAUUCACUCACAAAGCUUUGGUCGGUCCGAGGCUAUCACAGAAGACACGUGCCCAAAGUGUCACACAGUGUGACUCAACCCGGAACCAUGUGGUUGGGAAGCAAGCUUUUAGUAAAUUUCUUCAGCCCGUACUUCUUUUGAACAUCAUUUUAAUAUGAGUCAAUUAAAAAAAAGCACUAAACAGCGUGGAUUAAAAUAAGCUGUAAGUAUUUAUAUCUAACGUGGCUUAGUCGGUUUAAUCGCUUUUCAGUACCUUACUGACCCUGAAAGAGUGAAAGGGGAAGUUUAUCUCGGCGGGAUUUGAAAUCAGAAUGUAUAGGGCCAUUAAAAUUCGCUAGGAAUCUUAUCCUAGCUUCGAAGAAAUUGUCCUCGGCAUUUAUCCAGGGCUUUGUUUCUUCGACCUUGGAAGGUUGAAAGAUAAAGAUGUCCUGGUAGGGAUAUAAACUUAUAUAAGUAGAUAUAAGAAAUAUAGCAAGACACUUUAUUUGGCGUUCUAAUGGUAUUAUAGACAUUUUUUCCCCAUCCUGAAUCUUGCUGUGAUGGUGGCGGUAGUGGCAGUAGCGGUGGCAACAGCAGAAGCAAUGGCAGCAGCGGUAGUAGUAGUAGUAGUAGUAGUAGUUAGUUGUAAUCAAAUUUGUCUCCAUUUUCAAUCUUUACAGACGGCUGUUAUGUUCGAAAUAUAGGAGCGGGGGGGGGGGAGAGGAAAAGAUAAUAACAGGCCAACUCUUUGUUAGAUCGAACAAUAAAUGAAACAUCAGUUUUAUUUUUACCUCCUCCUCCUCCUCCUCCUCCUCCUCCUCCUCCUCCUCCUCUCAUCAUCAUCAUCAUCAUCACCAUCAUCAUCAUCAUCAUCAUCAUCAUCAUCAUCAUCAUCAUCAUCAUCAUCAUCAUCAUCAUCAUCAUCAUCAUCAUCAUCAUCAUCAUCAUCAUCACCACCACCACCACCACCACCACCACCACCACCACCACCAUCAUCAUCAUCAUCAUCAUCAUCAUCAUCGUCAUCAUCACCAUCAUCAUCAUCACCAACAUCUCCCUAAUCCUAUUACUGCUUCUUAACAUCAUUAACGUUAUUCCCCACCUUUACUCCCAGUCACCCAUCUUUCAUCAUCAUCAUCAUCAUCAUCAUCAUCAUCAACAGCAGCAGCAGUACCUCUUCUUCUUCUUCUUCUUUCUCCUCCCCUUCAAUGUUGUUGUUGCUGCUGCUGCUGCCACCGCCGUUGCUGCUGCAUUCUACGAUAGUGAUGUCUAUAGAACUGGUGUUUCCUGCUCGACUACUUCCUAUCUUUGACUUCUAUUCAACUAACUGCAGUAUAUAAUUUAUAAAGUAUAUAUAUCGCUUAGAACAAAUAUUUCUUAGAGCAAUAUUAACGAAACACACCCACACACCCAACCACACACAAGCGUAUGCACACACACUCACAAAUAUGAAAGACAAAAAAGAAAAAAAAAAAUCAGCAAAAACAACUACUAUAAUAAUAACAACAAUAAUGAUGAUGAUGAUGAUGAUGAUGAUGAUGAUGAUGAUGAUGAUGAUGAUGAUAACAAUAACUGAACUAUUUUCCCAGCAUUUUGCUGUGCAAAUGCACAUCCUUCUUGCUCUCUCACCCUCUCUCUUUCUCUCUCUCUCUCUCUCUCUCUCUCUCUCCCUAACACAAAAUUGAAAAAAGAGGGAAUAAUGAAAUAAAAUAUAAAAAGAAGCAAAUAAACGAAUAUGAAAAUAAAAAAAACGAAAAAAAAUGUGUUAAUCGAUACAAAAAAAAGAAACAGUCAUGUUUUACGUAAAUAGAUCUGAUAUUUCGAUUUAUCUUCUUUUUAGAGAUAAGAAGAAUAUUACGAGAAAUCUUACAUUUAUUUUAGUUUUCCUUUAUUUUUCCUUUCUGCGAAGAAAUCUGUGAUGCGAAAUAGAAAUAAGAGAGAAGGAGGGAGGGAGAGAGAGAGGGAGAGGGAGAGAAAGAGGAGGAGAGAGAGGGGAGAGGGAGAGAAGGAGGAGGAGAGAGAGGGGAGAGGGAGAGAAGGAGGAGGGGAGAGAGGGGGAGAGGGAGAGGAGGAGAGAGAGGGGGAGAGGGAGAGGAGGAGAGAGAGGGAGAGAGGGAGAGAGAGGGAGAGAGACGAAAACCUUGCUUAAGGCUGAAUAUAUUUUUAAAUGAUAUUACGCAGUUUGUGCUCCGUGUGAGCAAAUCCUAGGGCAAUUGGCAAACAUUUCUUUCUUCAAACAGCCUACGAUGCCACCAUUGGUUCAAGGAAGAAAUUCCCCCGUGGCUAAUCGACCCGCUAAAAUGAGCAUCCAAAUAUUUCCCCAACAGCCUCAUAUCAUACUUUUGCUUCCUAGAAAAAAAAAGAAGAAAAAAAAACAGAAAUAAAGAAGGUAAUGAAGUUUUGAAUACAGUAAGUACGAAUAAAAGUCAGGAUGGUCAUGGGUGGAAUACUCAUCGUAUAGUUACUCGGCAUGGGCUGACCUGGAUUAAAAGCAACAAUAACAACCAGUCACCCACUCUCUUUCCAUCUAUCUAUCUAUCUAUAUAUCUAUCUAUCUAUCUAUCUAUCUAUCUAUCUAUCUAUCUAUCUAUCUAUCUAUCUAUCUAUCUAAAUACAUACAUAUAGAAACAGACACACAUACACACACACACAGAUCCACGCACAUAUUUAAGUGUAGGCGUGGCUGUGUGGUAAGGACUUUGCUUCUCAGCUAAAUGAUUCCGGGUUCAGUUCCACUGGCCGACCAAAGCCUUGUGAGUGAAUUUGAUCGAGGGAAACUAAAGGAAGCAUCUAUAUAUGUAUAUAUCUAUGAGUGUGCGUGUGUGUGUGUCCCUGCGUUUGUGUCUGCCCGCCACCACCGCUUGACAACCGAUGUUGGUUUGUUUGCGUUCCUGUAACUUAAUGGUUCGAUAAAAGACACCGAUAGAACAAGUACCAGGCUUAAAAAAAUAAGUCCUAUGGUCGAUUUAUACGACUUAAUAUCCUUCAAGGCGGUGCCCCAGCAUGGCCACAGUUCAAUGACCGAAAUAAGGAAAAAAUAAAAGACACACACACACACACACACACACACACAUGCACAUUUCAGCGCGCAUGUGUGUAUGAAUAUAAACAGAAUGAACAAGAAGAAAAGUGAGUGCUCAAUACAGAAAGUAGAGUUAUGUAUUCCUCCGUUAUUCUGAGUUUUUUUGUGGUUUCUUCUUACCAAUGUUUACGCUUUAAGUAUUAAACGUCCACGCAAAAUUCACUUUUCAUUUUAGAUCUGAUGACCCCUCUUGAUUUAUUUUUUUCUAUGCGGUUUUCUUAAAGAGUUUGCGCAAACAAAUCCAAAUCAUUCCAAGAAAUGGAGAAUGAUAUUCGAUACUAAUUUGCAGCAACUCAGACUAAUCCUACCCAAUUUACGACUGCAGAAUGAAAUUAGAGAAAGUUUUCACUGUUAUUUCUAAAAUUGCGCGAAUCCGCAUAGAGAUCCCUCGUUGUUUUGUGACACACACUCGUAUAUUUAGCAUAACGAGCAUAAUCUAAAAAAAAUAACUAUUCAUGAACUACUCAGCAUAUCACAUUUAUCGUAAUUCAAGCCAUUGGCCUACCUGAGUUACCUCCCUUAGUUUAUAUAUAUAUAUAUAUAUAUAUAUAUAUAUAUAUAUUUAAAACAAAAACAUACAUUACUCCUACCUAAAGAUUUCCAUACUUCUUUAUAUGCAAAAAGCAUUUCUCGACUGAAUAAAACACGUUCUAAUACAACUGUGUUUUACUGACGAAGUCCCAUAACGUCGAUAUGUAUCCGUAGCUGUCACUUUGCUCGGUCAUGAAGAUUAGAACUCCGUUCUCAGCAUGUAAAUUAGUUUUUGUGAAAUUUAUUUUUAAUUUCUUGUAAUUAUCUCCCCGUCAAUAAUUACUUCUUUAUUCAACCAAGAAGGAAUUUCAAUUAUUAAAGAUAUUUUUCGCAUUCAUUAUUCAGGCACAUCACAUUCUUUCUUUCUUUUAAUAAUAAUAUAACGUGUUUUCCUAUCACUCACCACAGAAAGAACUGUUCUCUACUUUCUGUUUUUUAAUGACAAAUGGAUCGUCGUUAAAUAUUGCUGAGGAUAGGCGCAGGCAUGGCUGGGUGAUGAAGCUCGCUUUAAAAACCUCGUGGUCUCGGGUACAAUUUUACUGCGUGCCAUCUUAAGCACGCGUUUUCAAUAGUAGCCUUGGGCCGACCAAUUCCUUUGUGAGUGGAUUUGUUACAUAGAAAUUGUGUGGAAGCUCGUCGUAUAUACGAAUGUGUGUGUGACUGUGCCUCGUCCUGCCGCUUGGUAACAUAUAUUGUUUGUGUAUGUCCCAGUACUUAGCGGUUGGAAAAGAAGAUUCGAUAAAACAAGUACAAAUUUUUUUUAACGUACUGGGAUCAGUUUGUUCGACAAAACUUUUCAAGGUGGCACCUCAGCAUAACUGCAGUCCUAUAACUAAAUCGAUUAAAAGAUAGAACCCCCCCCUGGAAUUGCUGAAUCAGUAAAGCCCCGGACUAAAUUAGCUUCAGUAUUAUAUCAUUCAUUGUAAGUUAUAUACAGGGUGGCCCAAAAGCAGGUUUACAGUUAUCACGUAGGCAUUUUAAAUUUCUUUUAAAACAUUUUAUAAUAUCUAAAUUUCUAUAUUAUAAACUGAAAAGGGAGAUUGACAAAAUUGACUAAAUUAGCAUACGAUAAUGGUUUCAUAUUUUUUUAAAAUUAAGAUCUAAACUGUCAAUAAAUGGAGGCGAAAGAGAUAGUUGAAUAACUGUAAACCUACUUUUGAGCCACACUGUAUUUAAAACCAGCAGGAAUCGAACUAAGAAACUCCUAAAUAGUCACUCAAACUGCAAGUUAUAGUGACAAAAUAUUCCUUAAAUCAUAUCCUACUGCCUAGGUAAAAGACAAGUUGGUCUUGACUGCAACUCAUUUGAAUACAUUUAUCUGUCUGAUUAGGGCGAAUCUGAUACUAAAUACUUAUUUCGUUAUUACCCACAAGGGGCUAAACAUAGAGGGGACAAACAAGGACAGACACACGGAUUAAGUCGAUUAUAUCGACCCCAGUGCGUAACUGGUACUUAUUUAAUCGACCCCGGAAGGAUGAAAGGCAAAGUCGACCUCGGCGGAAUUUGAACUCAGAACGUAACGGCAGACGAAAUACCUAUUUCUUUAUUACCCACAAGGGGCUAAACACAGAGGGGACAAACAAGGACAGACACACGGAUUAAGUCGAUUAUAUCGACCCCAGUGCGUAACUGGUACUUAUUUAAUCGACCCCGGAAGGAUGAAAAGCAAAGUCGACCUCGGCGGAAUUUGAACGUAACGGCAGACGAAAUACCACUAAGCAUUUCGCCCGGCGUGCUAACGAUUCUGCCAGCUCCCUGCCCUUCUGAUACUAAAUACUGUUACUCUGUCAGAGGGUGGCGAGCUGCUAAGAAUCGUUAGCACGCCGUGUAUGAUGCUUCGUGUUUUUUCGUCUGUGUAAGUUGAAUGGUUCAAGGUUGUGUUUGUUUUGUGUAAUUGUUUUGGAUUUUUGCUGUUCGCAGCGGUGGUGUUUUUUAAGAAGUGGCAAAGAGGAACAGGUAUUCUGACCUCAGUGAGUCGGACCUGUGGACUUCGGAGGAGGAGCUGGCGAGGACGGUCGACAGACUGUGUGUGGUGUUAGAGGGAGGAAGGACUUUUGCAGGAGCGGUGAAGCCAGCAAGUGGAGGGGUUGGAUUGCUGAGCUGCUGGAUGGCCGAGAAUGGGUGAAGGAGGUGGGCGGUGACGUGGAGUUGUCUCCGCCAAGGAGGGCGAUGAAGGUUUUUGGAAGGAGGCGAUGAGGGUUUUUUGGAUCCCGUCCGGCAUGGAGGCUGAGUGGGUGGUGGCGGUCAUCCUCAUUGAUGGUGAAGGUGGGGUGGAUGUGCUUCGGGCCACGAUUGCGGAUGGAGGCAGCUAGAGGGGAGGAGUGUUGGAGAUGAGCGUACAGGCUGGAACGCUUAACGGAGGUAAUUGCGUUGUGGCGGGGGGGGGGGCGUAAGUCUACGAGUAUGGGUGGAGGGCAGAACUUCUCGAUGUUUUAAAUGUGGCCUGAAAGGCCACAUAAGAGCUAACUACCCUCCGCCAGCAAAGGAACCAACGACGGAACCCGUAAAAGAGGUAGAAGAUAGACUCGGACAAGAAAAAAGAAGUAGAAAAAUGCUACGGGGUGAAAAUAAGAGACUAUGUAUUUUUCAGAAGACUAUAAGAAGAGAACAUAGGAAAAGAGGACAGGUAAGUGAUGUUAUCCCGAUGGGGCGGGUAACAUCACUUUCAUAUUUCAUUUUCACCCUCUCAUUUUUAUCAUACUUUUUUUUUUUUGGCGUUUUAUGUGAAGAAGAAUCGGACGGUGAGUAGGAAGAAAGAGGGAGAGAAACUGAAGGAAAAAUAAACAACAAAAGGAAAAUAGUAGGCUCGAACCAGCAAAAUUAGAGUGAGCCGAAACCAAAAAAGACAGCCAAGAGAGACUGACCGAGGAUGGCGGAGGGGGAGACGGACAGAGAAAUAGUUGCACUACACAGCAAAAACGAGGACUUCAUGCGUGAUAUAAAAACGAAAAAAUCUGCCACUAGGCUAAUUGAACUAUCGGAAAAGUAUAAAACUUAUGAAUUUUGCGAAGUGGACAAAAAACAUAAAAUAUCUUGUGUAACACGUAUAGAAAAUCGGUCUCAUCAUUGAGAUUUGAUUUUCAUCAAUCUAUAUUUGAAGGUUUGCCACCUCCGACCCUAAGUCAAGAAAAGGUGGGGAGUCCCUCUCCACAGGACGCCCCCAUCUAAAAGGUAAGUCACGUCUAUUCACAUUAGUUAUAAAUGUCCGUGGCCUGAUGUCGAGUUGGAAGCAAGGGCUAAAUGACGUCAGGUCAAGAAAUUUGGAUGUAAUUGUUGCAACGGAAACCCGGGUGAAGGGGCCAAGAGAUCUGCUCCCCUUCCUGAACGGCUACGAGAAAUGCAUUUCUCCAAGUCGGACGGGUGGUGGGGGCGGGGUGUUGGUCCUACUAAAGAGAAGCCGGAUAACCGAGAAAAGGUUGGUUUUUCUGAUCUAGAAGGCAGGCUGGUCGUUCUCGACCUGACUUUCAGUUGUGGCAAGACAAUCAGGCUGGUUGCAAUUUAUGCACCCAACGUUAUGGUCCGCAAAGGGAAUAUUUUCGUGACCUGAGCAAGUUCCUGGCCACGUCGCACUCGCUAGUAGUGAUAGGAGACUUUAACACAAUUUGUGACGCACGCACAGAUUGUGUUGGCUCGAACAUGAAUAGAAAAUGUAACCCUGCCUUUCGGGAUCUCCUAAGUCACUUUCAACUGGCAAAUCCAUACAGGUUGGAACAUCCGAACACUCCAUAGUGGAGGUGGUCAAAUAGUGACAGGUCUUCCAGAAUAUAUAUAGAUAGGGUUUUAGUUAGAAAAACAGAUAAGUGCAUAGCUAAGUGUCCAGAGUUUCAUCUAGUCAGCAACAGAUAUCACAAGAUGGUUACCUGUAAGCUGACAGUAGAUAAGUUACAUAGACAGGGAUUUGGCUACUGGAAACUCAAUACGUACUUUUUGGCGAUUGAGGAGUACAGAAAGCAGAUCAAGAAGUUAAUUCAGAGGGUAUUAACAGGUACCAUCAUUAAUAACGAAUGGUGGUACACCCUAAAAAGAGUCAUAAAAUAUGAGUCUAUUAGGUUUAGCAUAAGUUUAGCUAAGAAGGGACGUAGAAUAGGAGAUGGUCUAGUUAAGGAACUAGAAGCUUUGAGGUCUGGUAAUGUGGACCAAGUGAAGGUAAAGAGAUUGGAGUUGAACUAGUAUCUUGAAACCCAACUCAUGGGAAGCAUUACCAGGUGCGAUGGAAGUGAAGGAAUCAAGGCCGCUGGAUAGGCCCGAGUGGUGGAAGCUGGGCAAAGAAAUAGUUCCACUAUUCGGUCUAUGACGAACCAAAAUGGUGUCUUGGUAAACGAACCCGAGGAAAUAUGUGAGGCCUUUCGGUAGUAAUUCGCCCAGCUGUUCGGGGGUGCUGGCGGUCCUGAUGGUAGGGAAGUCCUCGAGAACUCUCUUGCCGGGUUACCACGCCUCUUGGGGUCGGAUGCGGAGGCUUGUGAGGGGCCGAUCACGCCUGGGGAGGUGACGAAGGCUAUGGAUGACUGUAAAGUGGGUAAGUCGCCGGGACUUGAUGGUCUUCCUUACGAGCUUUAUAAAUAUAUGCCAGACUUGUUCGGGCACCUACUGGCUAGCAUGUACGCGAACUGGCAACAAAAUGAGUUUAUCCCCAGAUCUGUGCGUCGGGGAGUUGUGACGUUGAUCAGAAAGGAUCCGGUCAAGGGGGACGUUUUAGAUAAUUUCAGGCCCAUCACUCUGUUAAACACAGAAGUGAAGAUUUUGGCCAAGGUUUUAGCAAAAAAGUUGGCGCGUGUAGCUGAGCAGUCGACAGGCACGCUUACCCAUAACGUAGUUCUCAAGGAGAUCAAUGUGAUGAGGCUGGCCCUUUGAAUUACAGGUACAACUCAUUUUUUCCAGCUGAGUGGAAUGGAGCAACGUGAAAUAAAGUGUCUUGCUCAAGGACACAAACGCACCGCCGGAUAUCGAACUGGCGACUUUACGAUCGUGAGCCGAAUAUCCUUAACCACUAAGCCACGCUCCUUCACCUUGUUAUUAAAUAGCAGUUACAUCUAGCUAGGUUCUGUUGAUUCUCUUUUAGUUCCGAUAUAAAAUCAAUGGUUUUUAGUGAUAAUUGUCAUAGCGUAAAAUGCUAGCUCCCAGCGUGUUACAUCUGUGAUCCGUUUUCGAUUGCCUGUUCUCCUUUCUGCAUUACAUCACUGAAACUCUUUCAGAACGGCAUGAACAUCAUUCAUUCUCACAUUUCUCUUCUCUUGUUAAUAUUAGGCUUUGUGCUUACAUAGAAUAUAAAUCAAUACAUAUUCCUGCACAGACGUUUAAUAUUUAUCUCUUAUCUCUUAUACGGAUUAAGAAACCUCGUAAGCAAAAGACAGCAAAAACGUAGAUAAAAAACAUUAAAACAAAAACUUUGUUUACAUCUUGUGUUUCAAAGGAAAACUGUCGCCUUGUUUGAGUCAUGCUAGAAAACAGAUAAUGUGUGGGCUUCUUAAGUAGAACUUACCUGAGGUUUACUUACCGGAUGAGGGGGAUUAUAGCUGCUUUAGAUAUUUAUUUGCUUAUGUUGGCUCAAAAUAAGAUGUAUUCCUGCCUAGAAUAGUGAAAUGAUAUUUUAGCUCUAUUCUGUUUCCUGUCGUUUAAGGACGAGUCGGACAGAGAAGGGGCAUUAACUCGGCAGCUCAGACUCAGACAGGAAACGUAACCUAACCAAAUACACUCACACGCACACUGUACAUGAUGUGAUACAUACAUACAUACCGUACAUACCGGCGUACAGGACGGGAUUUGAGGAUUUGAACUUUAAAAACAUUUCCCCAAAACUAGGGGUCGUCUCAUAUAUCCCGUAUAAAAUCUGAACCUUAACUUCUUGUAGUUUAGAGUAGCACCAAUGUCAAUGGAGAACGGUGUAAUGCAUUCAAAUAGAUACUAUGGUUCUACAGCACUGUAUUUUCUACUGAUACACGUAUGUUUGGGAAGCUAGUUUAAUAUCGAGCUGGCAGAAACAUUAGCACGCCGGGCGAAAUGCUUUGUAGUAUUUCGUCUGCCGCUGCGUUCUGAGUACAAAUUCCGCCGAGGUCGACUUUACCUUUCAUCCUUUCGGGGUCGAUAAAUUAAGUACCAGUGACGCAAUGGGUCGAUGUAAUUGACUUAAUCCGUUUGUCCCCUCUGUGUUUAGCCCCUUGUGGGUAGUAAAGAAAUAGGUAUUUCGUCUGUCUUUACGCUCUGAGUUCAAAUUCCGCCGAGGUCGACUUUGCCUUUCAUCCUUUCGGGGUCGAUAAAUUAAGUACCACUUACGCACUGGGGUCGAUGUAAUAGACUUAAUCCAUUUGUCUGUCCUUGUUGUCCCCUCUAUGUUUAGCCCCUUGUGCGCAAUAAAGAAAAAAAUAUAUUAAGAUUAUAUUAAAAUAACAGCACAGAGGACAGACACCAAUCGCCAUUUGCAACAGCUGACGAACAGAAAAUGUAAACAAUCAAUCCGUUCAGUCGUGUCUCAGGGUCCGACCUGUUUACACUGCCUCGCUAGAGCGCUCUCUCAUACAACGCUAAGCCAGCGAAGGGCUUUCAGGACAAGUGUAGUUUACAGUAACUAAUCUACUUGUUACGGCAGAUUAGCAGAAUGUACCGCUACCUUCUGUGACUGGCCAAUUCGUGUCAGUCAGACCAAUCACAAUAAGCCUUACAGUUACCGGUUACUUUUAAACAUUUGCAGAUAGGGUUUCUUGAAAAGGCUCAAGUUGUCACUCUUUCAUAAGCAUCAGGACUCUCACUGGAUGAACUGUACCCCCCCCCCCCAAGCUCCAAGUGAGAGAUGAAGGGAAUAUGAAGCUGGUUUUAAGCUGAAAAUGGUAGCAUACCCCAAGUUCUACAACUGUGCUGCUACGAGAAAAUACGGUUUUACCGAAAAGAUGGUAAGAGUUUGGAGAUUAAAGGAAGACUUAUUAAGGACUACACCCAAGACAAAAUGUCCAAUGAGAGAAGGCACUGCACACUGGCCGAUUCUUGAGAAGCAUGUAGCAGACGUGGUCUGUGAGCAGCGUCAAAAUGGGUGCGUUGUGUAGCAAGACUAAUAGUCUUGUGAAGCAAGACUAAUAGUCUUGUGAAGCAAGACUAAAUUUAGAAAUUAAAGAAAAUACUAGCAGUGUACUUCAUAACAACAUUUCUAAUAUAUUACAAUAUAAUAUUAUACAUACCGUAAGUAAAUCUGUAAAUCGAUUUUAAGAAAAUGGCGUUAUGGCAAACUGGACACCAUGCCAGUUUCUGUAAAAUAACAGACAUCUAAGUGACGUCACUACAUUAGUGUUUACACCAACCAGGUACUUUUGAUGAGUAUUAUAGUAGGUAAUUUACAAUAGCCAUUUCUUCAAAAGAUAUGGAUAAAUUUUAAACUAAGACUGCAGAAUUGUUGCAUACAAAGUUUACUGAUUGAAAUAUAGUUAAGAUGCUAUUGAAACAAAAAAGCGAAGGCUUCAGGGGGCGCUGGGGAUGCUACGGUUCACUCGGCCCCUUUAGCUAUGAACUUCGUGCCUUCAGUAUUCGAGAUAUUUUCCACUUAAACUUGGAACAGUCUUAUACAGCAAGUAUAGCUGAAAAUCCACUUUUUAAUUGGAAAUCCGGGAUGGGCGGGAGGUCGUGUACACCAAGUCGUAUUAUACACCGGCAUAUACGGUAUAUAUAUAUAUGUGUAUAUUUAUACAUACUUUGAAAUGAAUACGUGGCGUUUAAUUAAAUGAUAAUAUUAAUUAUAUAUAUAUAAUAUUAUAUAUAUAUAUAUAUAUAUAUAUAUAUAUAUAUAUAUAUAUAUAUAUAUGUAUGCAUAUAUGGGUACAGGGCGUCACCAACAGUGUAAAUAACAUGAAGUACGAAAACAAACAAGUUAAAUACUCAGUCAACUAGAGAAAGAAAUGUAAAACAGGACAAGUAACACAAAGAACGACGCCUCAUCAGUUGUCGGCUGUCUAUCUACUCCUCAUUUCGAGCUUUCAUUGACAAUAGGAGUUUUCGAAGACAGUUGCAUCCAUAAAUUCUAAAAUAAAAUUUUGGAUUUAUGGAGGGUCAAAAACAGGAUAGUGGAGACAUACAAGGAAACCGAACGAAAAAGAACGUGGAGGGUGAUUAGACUAGAACGAGAGGAAAAUAGUGAAAGCUGGGAGAAAAAUUUUCUUUGAAAAGAGAAAAGAUAGAAGACAUCCAGUCCUUAGAACAUCGUGCAGUAAAAGAAAGAUAGUCACGCGAGGAAAAGAAAUAUGGAUGAUGGUCACGUGUGAGUAACGUGAGAAAGAAAAAUAGAAAGAGUGGGAGAGAGAGAUAGAAAACUGUGAAGGGAAGAAAAAGGGAAUUAGAGAACGUUAGGGGAGAAAACAGUAUAGAGUCGCAUUAAAAAGGUUAAGAUAAACUUACUUGGAAAUGGAUGCAUGGCAUUCAAUUAAAUAAUAAUAUAAAUAAUAAUAAUAUAAAUAAUACAUAUACAUAGGCGCAGGAGUGGUUGUGUGGUAAGUAGCUUGCUUGCCAACUAUAUGGUUCCGAGUUCAGUCCCACUGCAUAGCACCUUGAGCAAGUGUCUUUUAUAGCCUCGGGCUGACCAAAGCCUUGUGAGUGGAUUUGGUAGACGGAAACGGAAAGAAGUCCGUCGUAUAAAUGUGUAUGUAUAUGUAUGUGUGUGUAUAUGUUUGUGUGUCUGCUUGACAACCGAUAGUGGUGUGUUUACGUCUACGUAGGGCGGUGCUCCAGCAUGGCCGUAGUUAAAUGACUGAAACAGGUAAAAGAGUCAAAGAGUAUAUAGUAGUAACCUAAAAGGAGGAAUUUUGAUUAUCCCCACCUGGUGAGUUGUAAUAGAUAUAAAAAAUUAAAAAGGAAAAUACACACCCUUUACAUAGCUUUAAUAUAAUUUUUAAUAUAUCGACCGGUUUCGCUUUCGCUAUUCAUGAUAUUAUGGUUUACUUAUUUGAAUAUGUAUUUUCUUAAGAAGAAAUUUUUGUCCAUGUUGUGUGAUAUUUACGAGUGAAUGACUUCACAAGUAGAAAAAUAAGGUGGGGUGUAAUUGGUUAUCGUUAUUGUUGCUGUUGUGGGCAAGGGAGAUAACUGUUCAGCUUUCGGGGAAGGGGAGGGGCAUAUAUAUGUACACACACACAAAAAAGGUUUCGAAAAACUUGUUUAGUGAGGGGAUUUAUGUACAGUGCUGUAAUCGAGGAUUGAAAUAUGUAAAAAGAUAAAAGUUGGUUACGCGUGCAUAUUAAGACGUGUUCUGUAUUUUUCAAUUAAAAAUGUUUAUUUAAACG
rnacentral:lncRNA from 1 species